GUAAUUAUUGAUGAGAAGAUAGACUGUUCCACCAUGUAGCUGAAUGCCUUACCAUCAUCCCAAGACACAGCCAGAAGGUGGUGUAUGACAACUCCGGGAGACUGAGAGCAUCAGCUGGAGGUGAUUAGCAGAACUAAAGCCUACAGCAUCCUCAUCACCUAGAGGAAUGGAACACAAAUGAAUAAUUGUGAUGAAAUUCUUAACACUACUGGAAUUUGAGGACAUUUUGCAGUCUGUAGAGAGGACAAGUGUCUGGGUACAUCUUCCAUUCCAUGUGCUCUACUGUCAUCCAUCCAGCUCAGCUCUCUCCAACCCAGGGGGCAACCUACACAAAAAGCAAUAAG